rnacentral:lncRNA from 1 species
CAGGCUGGUGCACAAUCACAGCUCACCACAGCCUCAACCUCCCAGGCCCAAGCAAUUCCCCUAUCCCAGCCUCCUGAGUAGCAAGUGCACAUCACCAUACCCAGCUAUAUUUUAAAUUUUUUGUAGAGACAGAGUCUCAUCAUUUUGCCCAGGCCUGGACUCAAACUCCUGGGCUCAAGCAAUCCUUCCACCUUGGCCUCUCAAAGUACUGGGAAUUAUAGGCAUGAACCACUGCACCCAGACUAAAAUUAGGAUUUCUUUUUAGUUAUAAAUAGUAUUGAAGAGAGGCUUAUGAGUUUUUAAGGUGUGGUUUUCAGGUAAUGUGGGUUGCUGUUUGGCCUUCCAGUGUGUUCCCUUGAGUGGCUAAUUCUUAUAUUUAGUCAUUCUCCCUUUGACAUAGAGACAGCACAUGACUAUGGCAUUGAGCAAAAGUUUUCAAAAAUUAAUUUUAGCAAUUGAUUCUCUUUCUCCAAAUGCAAUCUGUUGGCUAGGCACAGUGGCUCACGCCUGUAAUUUCAACACUUUGGGAGGCUGAGGUGGGCAGAUCACUUGAGGUCUGGAGUUUGAGACCAGCCUGGCCAACAUGAUGCAACCCAAUCUCGACUAAAAAUACAAAACUUAUCUGGGCAUGGCGGUGCCUAACCCAGGAGGUGGAGGUUGCAGUGAGCCAAGAUUGUGCCACUGCACUCCAGCCUAGGCAACAGAGCGAGACUCCAUCGCAAAAAAAAAAAAAAGCAAUCUGUUGUAGAAUCCUUAAAUGUAAAACGGAUGAAAGCAAAUCUCCUGUUGAAACAGACCUUGGAGGUCAUACCUGUGCCCUCUGCUUCUCCCUCUCUCUUCUCCGCCCUUGCCUCUGAAGCAACAUGAAAAGCUGAGGCUAGGAGCUGUGCUCUUCUAUACUUAGGAGACUGGGAUGCUGGACCAACCUUGAGAAGCCUGUGCUUUAGAACUGAACCUUACUCUGCACUUUAGCCACAGGCUAUCAACGCAGGCUCAGGGGACCAAAACCAAACCUUCCUAUACUGAGAUUAAUGACUGCAAAAAGGGCU